AGAAACCCAAACUGGUGGCGCUGUUAGAGAUUGUGGGGCUGCAGAUAUUUUAAUUAUGAUGGAUGAAACAGGAACUGUGGGGCCAUAUAGUUUUAACACAAUGAAAAUGUUUGUGAAAGAGUUUAUCCGAGGUCUUAAUUCUCUGUCUCUAAGAUUUAGCGCUUUGACUUUCAGUAGUUCCGUAACAAAAAUAUUUGGUUUCCGCAAUUUUUCUAGUUUAUCUGUCAUUAUGUCAGAAAUAGAUCGAGUUCGAUAUUCUUCUGGAGGAUCUACAGAGACUGACAAAGCGUUGAGAUAUGCAAGGACGUCUAUGUUUAUCAGCACAAGGACAGACGCUUCUAAAGUCGUCAUUCUGAUUACGGAUGGUGUAUCAACUAAUCAGGAGAAAACACAGGAAGAAGCCGCCUUAUUGCGCAGUCAAGGAGUGCGCAUCUUUUCGAUUGGAGUAGGAAGAAGCAUUACCAAAGAGGGACUGAGUUUAAUAGCGUCACUUCCGAGUGAUGAGCACGUAUUCCAAGUCUCGUCAUUUAACACUCUUUCACAAAUUUUGAGCGUUGUGCAAAACAGGACAUGUGCAGCAUCCAAUGUUAAUGGUGGUUGGAAUUCAUGGAGUUCUUGGAGUGCUUGCAACGUUUCAUGCGGAGGAGGCAACCGCGAAAGAUCCAGAAUAUGUAAUAACCCUGUGCCCAGAAAUAAUGGGCGUCCGUGCCUUGGUGCAGAAAAUGAACUCGAUAUCUGCAACAUGACCCCCUGUCCUGUUGAUGGCGGAUUCACGGAAUGGACCAGCUGGUCACACUGUACAAAAAGUUGUGGUGGUGGGACUAAAAAUAGAAAUAGAACCUGUACUAAUCCCCGCCCUAGAUAUGGUGGUCUGCCAUGUAGUGGACUUUAUUUUGAAUAUGGAAGUUGCAAUAAUAAUUUUUGUCCCGUUAAUGGUGGAUUCUCAGAGUGGAGUGUUUGGACUUCUUGUACAGACACUUGCGGUGGAGGUUUGUCAAGUAGAAAACGAUUUUGUAACAAUCCAGAACCUCAGUAUGAAGGAGACAAUUGCACUGGUUUGUUUGAGGAAACUAGAAUUUGCAAUAAAAUACCCUGUCCAAUCGAUGGCGGUUUCAGCGAAUGGAAUUUGUGGAUGUUUGUUCUGUUUCAUGUGGCGGUGGAUUAAAAUCAAGAAAAAGAACAUGCACGAAUCCGUUGCCACAAUACGGAGGACAAAAUUGCUCCGAUUUUUUUGAUGAGUCAGACACUUGCAACACAUCACCUUGUCCUGUUAAUGGUGGUUUUGGAAAUUGGGGUUCAUGGUCAGGUUGUUCUAGAAGCUGUGGGGGAGGUAGCAGAGAGAGGAUGAGGUUCUGUAAUUCUCCAACACCAGCGCAUGGCGGUGAAAACUGUAUUGGAAACACUUCGCAAAUAAUAUGGUGUAACGAAUUUCCUUGUCCAGUUGAUGGAAGAUUUACUGAAUGGAGCAUCUGGACUGAUUGUUCACAAAGUUGUGGAGGAGGUGUAGUUAUACGUAACAGAUCAUGUAGCAACCCCCCUCCACAACAUGGAGGAAAGCCUUGCAAUGGUCAUUUUUCCGAGUCUCUAAAUUGUAAUGUACAUCAGUGUCCCAUUGAUGGUGGGUUUUCUCUCUGGAGUGCAUGGUCAUUGUGCACUGUCUCUUGUGGUGGUGGAACCUCAAUUCGAUCCCGAUCCUGUACAAACCCAUCUCCGUUAUAUGGCGGUAAAAACUGCGCUGGCGCAAAAGAACAAAUUAUAAACUGUAGUAUACAACAUUGUCCAAUUGACGGAAAAUACAGUGACUGGACUGCAUGGUCAUCAUGUCCUCAUUCAUGUGGUGGAGGAUUUAUAUCAAGAUUACGAAGGUGUAACAAUCCACCUCCACAGUACGGUGGAAAACAAUGCAGCGGGAACGAUAAAGAUUAUUCAAAGUGCAAUGCACAGCCGUGUCCAAUUGAUGGGGCUUUUGGCGAAUGGCAAGCAUGGUCUCAUUGUUCGCAUAGCUGUGGAGGGGGCAAUAAAAAAAGGUUAAGACAAUGUAAUAACCCUUUUCCGGCAUUUGGUGGAAAAAACUGCACUGGACUAUUCCAUGAAUCGUCAGAUUGUAAUCUUACUCCGUGUCCAAUUAAUGGCGGUUUUAGUUUCUGGAGUGAAUGGUCGCAAUGUUCGGAAACUUGUGGCGGUGGCGUACAAGGAAGAAAUAGGUCAUGCACAAAUCCAGUCCCACUGUAUGGUGGCACAGACUGCGAUGGCCAACGACAAGAUUUUCUUGAAUGCAAUACACACGAAUGUCCAAUAGAUGGAAAAUAUUCUGACUGGGGUGCCUGGGCCUCGUGUUCCGUUACCUGUGGAGGAGGUACACAACUGCGAAAACGAACUUGUACAAAUCCACCUCCACAAUUUGGAGGGAAAGAAUGCUCCAACGAAUCGGAACAAUCGGAAAACUGCAAUACAAACAACUGCCCAGUUGAUGGUACAUAUUCUGACUGGAGUGCGUGGAUGUCCUGUACCGUUACAUGUGGAGGAGGAACACAAUUGCGAAAACGGACCUGUACAAAUCCAUCUCCACAAUUUGGAGGUAAACCAUGCGCUGGACCAGCAAAUGAAAUAACAGAAUGCAACACUAAACCUUGUUCAAUUUGUAAGAAUCCUGCCAAGGAAUUUGAAUGUCUUGACAAAGUGAAAUGUGUUGCUGAUGAAUAUAAAUGUGAUGGAUUACCGGAUUGCGAUGACGCAAGUGAUGAAUUACCUGUUUUAUGUUCAAGGGUGAGUGGGUCCGGAUCCUGUCCAGAAGGCCUACAUAGUUGCCCUGAUGGUUCUUGUGUAUCCAGCAGUUCUGAUUGUUAACAUUAUUUUGUGUGACUAAUCAUGUAAGAAUAUUAUAUUGUGUUGAGAAAACUUAAACAUAUAAACAGUAAUUUUCUUU
rnacentral:misc_RNA from 1 species